UUAAUGCCAGCCUUCAUAAAAUCAGUGAUUACACAUGAGACCUGAUGCCACCUUAGAAGCUGCAUGAUGUCUGCCAUCUCAGACAAGGGCUUAUCAGCUUGUCACAGGGCUUUUUCCAGAAAGGCAUUGUACAGAGGGUUCAUGGCUUUAUGCUGCACGGACUGAGGAGGGGGCCUCAUUGUGUUGGAAAUUGCUCUUGAGAUGCCACUGUAAGGUGGUAGAAUAUUGCUGACCUCUGUAAUUUACUUUCAUGUACCCAACACAUAAUCCCUGGAUUGUUGUAUUGAGUCAUUGCAAUGGCAAUUUCGAUUGCUCAUCAACACUUCUGUCUCUCCUGAGCAGUGCUUAUUGUCUAUGAAAACCAUCAAUGUAUUUUUUGAAGAUAUCUUCCUCUCAAG